UACAGAGGGUGCGAGCGUUAAUCGGAUUUACUGGGCGUAAAGCGUGUGUAGGUGGCUUCCUAAGUCGGUUGUGAAAUCCCUGGGCUCAACCUGGGAAUUGCAUUUGUGACUGUACGGCUAGAGUGUGUCAGAGGGGGGGUAGAAUUCCACGUGUAGCAGUGAAAUGCGUAGAGAUGUGGAGGAAUACCGAUGGCGAAGGCAGCCCCCUGGGAUAACACUGACGCUCAUGCACGAAAGCGUGGGGAGCAAACAGG
rnacentral:rRNA from 1 species